GGCUAGGACGAACGCUGGCGGCGUGCCUAACACAUGCAAGUCGAACGAAGCAUAGUAAUAUGCUUAGUGGCGGACGGGUGAGUAACGCGUGAACAAUCUGCCCUAUACAAAGGAAUAGCCUCGGGAAACUGGGAUUAAAACCAUAUAACACUUUAGUACCGCAUGGUACAGAAGUCAAAUUGAUUAAGAGGUAUAGGAUGAGUUCGCGUCUGAUUAGCUAGUUGGUAAGGUAAUGGCUUACCAAGGCGACGAUCAGUAGCCGGCCUGAGAGGGUGAACGGCCACACUGGAACUGAGACACGGUCCAGACUCCUACGGGAGGCAGCAGUGGGGAAUAUUGCACAAUGGAGGAAACUCUGAUGCCAGCGACGCCGCGUGAGUGAAGAAGGUCUUCGGAUCGUAAAACUCUGUCCUUGGUGAAGAUAAUGACGGUAGCCAAGGAGGAAGCCCCGGCUAACUACGUGCCAGCCGCUGC
rnacentral:rRNA from 1 species